rnacentral:tRNA from 1 species
AGAGUGUGACUAUAGAGAUAUUUUGCAAAAAUGUUUUAGACUAGUAGUUUUAGUCCACACUU